CAUGGCUCAGGAUGAACGCUAGCUACAGGCUUAACACAUGCAAGUCGAGGGGAAACGAUAGAGAAAGCUUGCUUUUUCUAGGCGUCGACCGGCGCACGGGUGAGUAACGCGUAUCCAACCUGCCCAUCACUUGGGGAUAACCUUGCGAAAGUAAGACUAAUACCCAAUGACGUCUCUAGAAGACAUCUGAAGGAGAUUAAAGAUUUAUCGGUGAUGGAUGGGGAUGCGUCUGAUUAGCUUGUUGGCGGGUAACGGCCCAUCAAGGCGACGAUCAGUAGGGGUUCUGAGAGGAAGGCCCCCCACAUUGGAACUGAGACACGGUCCAAACUCCUACGGGAGGCAGCAGUGAGGAAUAUUGGUCAAUGGACGAGAGUCUGAACCAGCCAAGUAGCGUGCAGGAUGACGGCCCUAUGGGUUGUAAACUGCUUUUAUAAGGGAAUAAAGUGGGAGUCGUGACUCUUUUGCAUGUACCUUAUGAAUAAGGACCGGCUAAUUCCGUG
rnacentral:rRNA from 1 species